CUUCUAGAAAUCAUAGAUCUCUAGCUUCAAAUGAAACUUUACCCAGAAGCCUGACCCAGAAAGCAGUCCCCAGCCUAACCACGGGACUCGCCCGUUUAAGCUAAUGAAGCCACCAACAGAAAAACUUUCUGGAGAGGUGUACUUCACCAUUGACCGAGCCACCGUUCCCACUUCUCCAAGAACUCGAGCCUAAUGGAACGAUUUGUAAGAGCACUGACAUCAUAUACUUACUACUGUUGGAUGACAUCAUGGAGGCCAGUCCCUGCUUGUGAAUGGGAAGGAGAAGGAACAUGCACAAUGGUGACCAUCAUCAGGAUGACUUCAGGGCAUGUCACAGGGGCCUGUGUAUCUCAUACACAUGGUAUCUUGUGACCCUUCUCUGAUUAGCUUUAUCAUGCUUCCUAUUCUAUUCUGUAUAAUUGAUGUUUUAAUUAUAUGUGUCAUUUACACAACUGCUGCCUCCUUCAGUGGGGAUGUCAGUUCUACUAAUAAAGAUGUUUUUG